GACAGAGGGUGCAAACGUUGUUCGGAAUUACUGGGCGUAAAGCGCGUGUAGGCGGCAGGGCAAGUCGGAUGUGAAAGCCCACGGCUCAACCGUGGAAGUGCACCCGAAACUGCCCAGCUAGAGUCUCGGAGAGGAAGGUGGAAUGCUUGGUGUAGAGGUGAAAUUCGUAGAUAUCAAGCGGAACACCGGUGGCGAAGGCGGCCUUCUGGACGAUGACUGACGCUGAGACGCGAAAGCGUGGGGAGCAAACAGG
rnacentral:rRNA from 1 species